UUUGGACAAUCUUGCAGCUCUCCUCUGUUCUCGCCUGCGCAUACUCUCUCUACCGCUUCGAGAAAAUUCACGACACACAUUGCGGGUGUAGUUUAACCCUUUUUGAUCUGCUUCAAGCUCGAUCACAUUUUCUCGCCAUUUCCAUGUCUAAAACAUUAUCUCUACCCUACUAUGUACUCGGAUCACACCUCCUGACCGAUUACACAAAACAAAACCCUAACGCUACCUAUUUCAUCUCUCAAACGAUUCUGGAAAGUUCACCACACAUAAGGUAGUGACACCACUCAAGAAAUGGUUUGAGGCAAAAUUUGAGCUGACAGAUCUGAAAGAAAUCAACCAACAGGAACUACAACAUCUAUAAGAUGUUCCAUAAAAAAUAUGGCAAUACAUGAGAGUGUUGGAAUUACACUGUCCGGAUAGACCCACAAAAAAGAAGAUACAUACAGUAAACAUGUAAUUUCAAUGUUUAAUUUGCUCACAUUUACAUCAACACCAAGCACCAAGAAAAAAAAAACCAUUUCUGCUCUAGAAAAAGUGAAAGAGGAUGCAAAUCUUUACCAAAUCUGCAGCCCAAAUUUUGCAGCAACAACUACUGCUGGUCAGACCUUCUUUGUUUACUUUGUAGCCAGACUGCAUCCAGCACCCUGCACAAUCUUCAGAAAUAUCAAAGAAAGUAAAAAUGCAUACAAUCAAGUGUAUACCUUUCGCAUCUAUGUAUAUGC